CGGGCGCCAGUCGGCGGCCACCGCGCCCGCGCCCCGCAGCGAGGUGUGGCUGAAGGGGGCCGAGAAGACCGAGGCGUUCGACUCGCCGGCGCUCGC
rnacentral:tRNA from 1 species